UACAGAGGUCCCAAGCGUUGUUCGGAUUCACUGGGCGUAAAGGGUGCGUAGGUGGUGAGGUAAGUCGGAUGUGAAAUCUCCAGGCUCAACCUGGAAAUGGCAUCGGAAACUGCCUUGCUCGAGGUUUGGAGGGGGGACUGGAAUACUUGGUGUAGCAGUGAAAUGCGUAGAUAUCAAGUGGAACACCAGUGGCGAAGGCGAGUCCCUGGACAAAACCUGACACUGAGGCACGAAAGCUAGGGGAGCAAACAGG
rnacentral:rRNA from 1 species